rnacentral:rRNA from 1 species
UGGGGAAUUUUGGGCAAUGGGGGAAACCCUGACCCAGCAACGCCGCGUGAAGGAUGAGGUAUUUCGGUAUGUAAACUUCGAAAGAAUAGGAAGAAUAAAUGACGGUACUAUUUAUAAGGUCCGGCUAACUACGUGCCAGCAGCCGCGGUAAUACGUAGGGACCAAGCGUUGUUCGGAUUUACUGGGCGUAAAGGGCGCGUAGGCGGCAUGACAAGUCACUUGUGAAAUCUCUGGGCUUAACCCAGAACGGCCAAGUGAUACUGUCGCGCUAGAGUGCAGAAGGGGCAAUCGGAAUUCUUGGUGUAGCGGUGAAAUGCGUAGAUAUCAAGAGGAACACCUGAGGUGAAGACGGGUUGCUGGGCUGACACUGACGCUGAGGCGCGAAAGCCAGGGGAGCAAACGGGGAUUAGAUACCCAUGUAGUCCCUGAGCGGGCUGGCAAGGCGCAU